ACCGCGAUAGUUCAGUUGGUGGAGCAUCCGCCAGUUAAGCGGAGAGUCGUCGGUUCGAUUCCCACUCGCGGCG
rnacentral:tRNA from 1 species